rnacentral:rRNA from 1 species
AUUGAACGCUGGCGGAAUGCUUUACACAUGCAAGUACGAGCGGCAGCGCGGGGGGCAACCCUGGCGGCGAGCGGCGAACGGGUGAGUAAUACAUCGGAACGUGUCCUUAAGUGGGGGAUAGCUCGGCGAAAGCCGGAUUAAUACCGCAUAAGGGCUCUGAGGAGGAAAGCGGGGGCUCCGUAAGGACCUCGCGCUGUUGGAGCGGCCGAUGUCGGAUUAGCUAGUUGGUGGGGUAAAGGCCCACCAAGGCGACGAUCCGUAGCUGGUCUGAGAGGAUGAUCAGCCACACUGGAACUGAGACACGGUCCAGACUCCUACGGGAGGCAGCAGUGGGG